rnacentral:rRNA from 1 species
UACGUAGGGUGCGAGCGUUGUCCGGAAUUACUGGGCGUAAAGAGCUCGUAGGCGGUUUGUCGCGUUGUUCGUGAAAUCUCACGGCUUAACUGUGAGCGUGCGGGCGAUACGGGCAGACUGGAGUACUGCAGGGGAGACUGGAAUUCCUGGUGUAGCGGUGGAAUGCGCAGAUAUCAGGAGGAACACCGGUGGCGAAGGCGGGUCUCUGGGCAGGAACUGACGCUGAGGAGCGAAAGCGUGGGGAGCGAACAGG